rnacentral:ribozyme from 1 species
UGCCCAGUAACUUCUAUCCCCACCUCCGUGUGGUACCGGCCGGAAACGAUGAGCAACCUUAAAGGGAAGA